UGUAGUGACGGUUAUGUCCUUAGUGUUUUUUUUCCUUAUUUUCCUUGUUGAUUGAGUUCAGUCUUCAACAUUGAAUCCCUCAUUCUUGCUUUUUCCUUAUUUUCCUCUUUCUUCCAUUUGCUUUCUGUCUCCUUUGAAUCGGUCUUCGCACUCUCAUUCCAUCCCUUCUUUCUCACUUCAUUUUCUCUUUCUUCACUCUCCACUUGCCUCUCCUCCCUCCAUUUUUUACAGUGUUUGUAGACCCUAAACCCAAAACAAAAACUUUCAGAUUGGGUGAAUUUCCAGAAACUCUUCCCAGUUAGGAAGGAACUUCGAACUAGGAGAACAAGAGAAAGAGAGGUCCUAGACUCAGCUCAUCAAGUUGGAAGAUUUAUUGUCUCAAGCUCUCAACUGCCCCUGAUUUGCCUUACAAGGAAAUGACCAAACACUACGAAGCUCUUAUGAUGGGUAAGCAGUAGAAGAUGUCCCAUUUGAUGACGGUUCAGCAACAAAAAAGCUUAAUCAACUUCUAUGUCCAACAUGCUGAUCUCGAACGAAAUAGGGCUACUCCUUCACAUAUAUCAGGCUGGGAUGGCUUUGACAAUUUAGCUGCUGCACUUAAAGGAAAACCAGUGAAAGUUGAAGUUGGGCCAACAGGUGCAAUCAAGAGAGUUGGCUACCUCAAGUAGGUUAUCAAAUCAGUUGUUAUGGAAGAACCCAUGAAUGCUAAAGCAGUUGGUGCAAAAGAAGCGGAAGAUGCCAAAUCAGCUGCCGCAAAGGAAGUCAUGCCUGCCAAAACAGCUGCUCCAAAAGAAGGCAAGAAAGCCAAAUCAGUUGCUCCAAAAGAGGUCAUGAAUGCCAAGAACUAAGGCUUCUUGUAUGAACACGUUAUAUCGAACAAGAGUAGCUUGUCAUUUUGAACGUUUUCUUGCUGGACACCUUUUGAAACAAUAGUAAGUUCCUUUUGCACAAGUCACUGGUGAUGAUUCUGUACUCCUUAAAUGCUCUGCCAUGUGAACUUUUAUAUAAUUUGUGUACUUAAGUAGCAACUUAUGUAUGGUUAUCAUGCCUAACUUCAAACCUAAUAUCUUAUGGCUGCACUUUUGUUAUGAAAACAUGAUAACCAACAAAUCUCAAGUCAAGCAUUUAUUUAUUUUAUGUUCUGUAUUCCUUA